UCUACGGGUGGCUGCAGUGGGGAAUAUUGGACAAUGGGCGAAAGCCUGAUCCAGCCAUGCCGCGUGUGUGAAGAAGGCCUUCGGGUUGUAAAGCACUUUCAGUGGGGAAGAAAGCCUUGGGGCUAAUACCCUCGAGGAAGGACAUCACCCACAGAAGAAGCACCGGCUAACUCCGUGCCAGCAGCCGCGGUAAUACGGAGGGUGCGAGCGUUAAUCGGAAUUACUGGGCGUAAAGCGCGCGUAGGCGGUCUGAUAAGCCGGUUGUGAAAGCCCCGGGCUCAACCUGGGAACGGCAUCCGGAACUGUCAGGCUAGAGUGCAGGAGAGGAAGGUAGAAUUCCCGGUGUAGCGGUGAAAUGCGUAGAGAUCGGGAGGAAUACCAGUGGCGAAGGCGGCCUUCUGGACUGACACUGACGCUGAGGUGCGAAAGCGUGGGUAGCAAACAGGAUUAGAUACCCCAGAGUC
rnacentral:rRNA from 1 species